rnacentral:rRNA from 1 species
CUGGAGGUAUCAGAAGUGCGAAUGCUGACAUAAGUAACGAUAAAGCGGGUGAAAAGCCCGCUCGCCGGAAGACCAAGGGUUCCUGUCCAACGUUAAUCGGGGCAGGGUGAGUCGACCCCUAAGGCGAGGCCGAAAGGCGUAGUCGAUGGGAAACAGGUUAAUAUUCCUGUACUUGGUGUUACUGCGAAGGGGGGACGGAGAAGGCUAUGUUGGCCGGGCGACGGUUGUCCCGGUUUAAGCGUGUAGGCUGGUUUUCCAGGCAAAUCCGGAAAAUCAAGGCU